CCAAAGCUCUACAGUGAAAGGCCAUUGUUUAGAAAUGGCACAAUUGUUAGAGAUGGUGGCACAGCAAAAGGAGCACUGAGAGCAUCACAACCAGAGACGUGGACAGUACAAAACUGGAUCGUACUCCCUUUGGCAUUAAUGGAAAUUCUGCAGCUUACUCCCAUGGAAUUGCAGAGAAAAAACAAUGACAACAAAAAUGAUGUUUCCAAGACUAUAUGGCCAUGCACUGGCUCGAGUUCACGGGUCUCUUCGGGAAUGAAUCUUCCUGGAAUCGGGAGCACUUGUAUUUUAUCUCACGAAGAUGGCACGCUGCUUCGCUUUUAGUGAUUCGGAUCUAGAAGAGCAGCAUCACCAUUACAGCCCACGAACGGGAGCUCACCUUUUGUAUUGCUCCGGCUCAGAAGGAAGCUGCCCUCUGGCGG